rnacentral:lncRNA from 1 species
CCCUCCUUCCCUUACCCGGGCGCGGAACUCCUGACGCCUGGGUGCUCGGGAAAGAUGCCCGCAGUCCGGUAGAGCCAAGGGUUGGAGCUUCCUAAGGAACAGCACCGCUGCCCGAAGCCGAGAAGGUCUCCUUGGUUUGCCUCCUCUCCCACUGCAGUGACCUCCAUGCAAGAGAAGCCAGUAUGGUCCAGACACCUGAGGGAGGCGGUGUGGUGUAAAGAACUUGGAGUCGGGCUGCAGACAGACUAAGGCGCAGUCCUGCCCCUGUCACUUACCAGCUGUGUGGCCUUGGGCAAGCCGCAUAACUUCCCAGUGUCCCAGUUUCUUUGAAGUCACAGGAUAGCAAUGCCCAAAUAAAGAAGGCUAAAGUUCAGUGGCA